AGAGUUUGAUCCUGGCUCAGAACGAACGCUGGCGGCAGGCUUAACACAUGCAAGUCGAACGAUGGCUUCGGCCAUAGUGGCGCACGGGUGAGUAACGCGUGGGAACCUGUCCUGUGGUUCGAGAUACCUCCGGGAAACUGGAGUUAAUACCGGAUGCGCCCUGAGGGGCAAAGAUUUAUCGCCAUAGGGUGGGCCCGCGUCCGAUUAGCUAGUUGGUGGGGUAAAGGCCUACCAAGGCAUCGAUCGGUAGCUGGUCUGAGAGGAUGAUCAGCCACACUGGGACUGAGACACGGCCCAGACUCCUACGGGAGGCAGCAGUGGGGAAUAUUGGACAAUGGGGGCAACCCUGAUCCAGCCAUGCCGCGUGAGUGAUGAAGGCCUUCGGGUUGUAAAGCUCUUUCGACGGGGACGAUGAUGACGGUACCCGUAGAAGAAGCCCCGGCUAACUUCGUGCCAGCAGCCGCGGUAAUACGAAGGGGGCGAGCGUUGUUCGGAAUUACUGGGCGUAAAGGGCGCGUAGGCGGCGCACCAAGUCAGGCGUGAAAGCCCUGGGCUUAACCCAGGAACUGCGUUUGAGACUGGUGUGCUGGAGUGCAGGAGAGGUCGGCGGAAUUCCCAGUGUAGAGGUGAAAUUCGUAGAGAUUGGGAAGAACACCGGUGGCGUAGGCGGCCGACUGGACUGUAACUGACGCUGAGGCGCGAAAGCGUGGGGAGCAAACAGGAUUAGAUACCCUAGUAGUCC
rnacentral:rRNA from 1 species